rnacentral:piRNA from 1 species
UAAUCAUUCAGUGUGCUGGGACAGAGAAG